CGCGGGGGGAGGGGCGGCUGCCGCCGCUGAGGGGCGGCGGCGGGAGCGCGGGCCUCGCACCCGCUUUUCCUUCAAUUUUUCCUUUUUUUUUAAAUUUUAAUUUAGUGCGGGCAGGGCCCGGGCCGCUGAGGGGAAGGGCGCGCGGUCGGGGAAGGACUGGAGGGCGGAAAAACCCGCGCGAGUCGCUCGAAGCGCUGGCAAAAAGGCGAGAACCGCUGGGAAACCGCCUGGCUCCUCGGAGUGUUUCGCGUGUGGCGUGUUUCCUUUCCCCUCUUUUUUUUUUUCCUCCCCCCCCCCUUUCUUAUUUCGUUCUGUUUUACCCGUGUCGGGGGUGGAUAAACUGUAGCACAGUUGACAAGCGAGCACCAACUCGGUGGGAGUGCUUGUGAGCUGGGAGAGAGGUCGAGCUGGAUCCCGCUCAAGGUAAAAACAAACGCAACUUGUAGCUGGGAUCGUAUUUUGCAACAGGCCAAUGUUUUUGUGCGGGUUUAGGGCCUCUUGUGAUUUAGCUGCUGGAGCCCUUGGGUUUCUGUCUUGUGGCAUGUUUGCUCUUGGACGAGUCAUUUUGCUUGUUGUUCUCUGGCACUGGCUUCACAGAACAAAAAUUAGUGCAAUCGCUGUGAAACGUGAAGUUUGCAAAGCGUUUAGGGCUUCUGGAUUAGAGUGAGUUUUACUUUUGCUCUGACAUGAGUUUUAUUUUUUGCUCUAUUAAAUUCUUCUUUCCAGGUCUGAACAAAAAGCAGUGGCCCUUGGUUUGAGGCUUCACUGAGGAAGGUUUAGUCUGGAGGCUUUAACGGCACAGGCAAAGACCUUUGGAAAAGAGCUUUUAUCAAGGAAACCAAGUAUCUGUAAGAAUUAACUAAGCCAACAUCCAUUAAAAAAAGUUUCUGAGAAUACAGAAAUGUGUUCCUCUUCGUUUCCUCCCAAGUGAGAACGAGUUCUCCUCAGAGUAUCAUCUAUACACACACUUCUUGUCAUCUCUACCUCAUGUUUCUUAAGAAAUGACCUGCUUUAGUUUAUGUGGUGUUCCUGAGUAAAGACUUUGAUGGCUUGAUUCAGGAGAGAGUACAAUUCUUUCAGACUUAAAUUCAAGCAGAAAAUCGAUCUUACAGUAAAGCUCCAGAACUGAGCGGUACUAUAGAGCAAAAAGACUCCCUGUACUCCUCCAAACACUUCUUGACUGCAGACAGAAUGAUGGAAUCUAGGUUUCAUUGCUGAGUCUUGAACCUUAGAGACAAUACAAAGAAACACAAGUAUGUCAGAAUGGUACUUUGAAGUCUGCGGGUCAAGAGGCUAAAAUCCAUCCUUCACGCCCACAACAUCUAAGGAUGCUGUGAUGGGUGAGGAGAAAACUGUGCCAAGACUGGACACAGCAAAUCUCACAAGGGUUUUCAAACUAAAAAAUGACAGCGUAGACAGAAAAGAUCUGAAAAGAAAAAGAGGGAAGAGGGGAAGAUUUCUUGUUGUUAAUCAUUAUCUGUAUUGAGUGCAGUACUACUGUUCUGGAUAUUGGAAAAUAAAAAAUGUUAUUUGCUUUUGUCAUAUUUAAAAUGAAAAGCCCAGGACUGACUGAUAACUAUUAAAUAUUGAAUAUUUUAAAAGGAUUUUUCAUUUCCCAAACAUAAACUUUGAAAUGAAACUGGCUGGUUAGGCCCUAUAUCUUGGUGUAUGUGUGCAUAUAUAUCUGUACAUAUGAUUAUAAACAUAAUUAUGUCUAUAUAAUCUUUAUUUUAUACACACACUUGUAUACACAUGCACACAAGUAUGACUUGGUUUUUCCUCAUACAGAGCAUCUAUUCCUAUUUCUGUUUAAGCUAAAUUUAGGACUGGGUAAAUGGAAACACUUUUUCUAUACAGAAAUGCUAUUACAAAAAUAACAGAUUUAAUCAAAUUGGCUCCACAGAAUAUUCACAACUUGCCCUCUUGUGUGCUGGAAUUCAGCGUUGUACAA